rnacentral:rRNA from 1 species
GACGAACGCUGGCGGCGUGCCUAAUACAUGCAAGUCGAACGAACGGAUUGAGGAGCUUGCUCUUCAAGAAGUUAGUGGCGGACGGGUGAGUAACACGUGAGGAACCUGCCUCAUACAGGGGGAUAACAGUUAGAAAUGACUGCUAAUACCGCAUAAGCGCACAGUGCUGCAUGGCACAGUGUGAAAAACUCCGGUGGUAUGAGAUGGACCCGCGUCUGAUUAGCUAGUUGGUGGGGUAACGGCCUACCAAGGCGACGAUCAGUAGCCGGCCUGAGAGGGUGAACGGCCACAUUGGGACUGAGACACGGCCCAA